AUUGAACGCUGGCGGCAGGCCUAACACAUGCAAGUCGAGCGGUAGAGAGGUGCUUGCAUCUCUUGAGAGCGGCGGACGGGUGAGUAAUGCCUAGGAAUCUGCCUAGUGGUGGGGGAUAACGUUCGGAAACGGACGCUAAUACCGCAUACGUCCUACGGGAGAAAGCGGGGGAUCUUCGGACCUCGCGCCAUUAGAUGAGCCUAGGUCGGAUUAGCUAGUUGGUGAGGUAAUGGCUCACCAAGGCGACGAUCCGUAACUGGUCUGAGAGGAUGAUCAGUCACACUGGAACUGAGACACGGUCCAGACUCCUACGGGAGGCAGCAGUGGGGAAUAUUGGACAAUGGGCGAAAGACCUGAUCCAGCCAUGCCGCGUGUGUGAAGAAGGUCUUUCGGAUUGUAAAGCACUUUAAGUUGGGAGGAAGGGUAGGUAACCUAAUACGUUGCUACUUUGACGUUACCGACAG
rnacentral:rRNA from 1 species